UAGGGAAUCUUCCGCAAUGGGCGAAAGCCUGACGGAGCAACGCCGCGUGAGUGAUGAAGGUCUUCGGAUCGUAAAACUCGGUUAUUAGGGAAGAACAAAUGUGUAAGUAACUAUGCACGUCUUGACGGUACCUAAUCAGAAAGCCACGGCUAACUACGUGCCAGCAGCCGCGGUAAUACGUAGGUGGCAAGCGUUAUCCGGAAUUAUUGGGCGUAAAGCGCGCGUAGGCGGUUUUUUAAGUCUGAUGUGAAAGCCCACGGCUCAACCGUGGAGGGUCAUUGGAAACUGGAAAACUUGAGUGCAGAAGAGGAAAGUGGAAUUCCAUGUGUAGCGGUGAAAUGCGCAGAGAUAUGGAGGAACACCAGUGGCGAAGGCGACUUUCUGGUCUGUAACUGACGCUGAUGUGCGAAAGCGUGGGGAUCAAACAGG
rnacentral:rRNA from 1 species